GGUGAAAAACCCGCUCGCCGGAAGACCAAGGGUUCCUGUCCAACGUUAAUCGGGGCAGGGUGAGUCGACCCCUAAGGCGAGGCCGAACGGCGUAGCUGAUGGGAAACAGGUUAAUAUUCCUGUACUGAAGGUGACUGCGAAGGGGGGACGGAGAAGGCUAGGCCAUCCGGGCGACGGUCGUCCCGGUUUAAGCGUGUAGGUGGGAGGAGCAGGCAAAUCCGCUCUUCUGUGAACACUGAGGCGUGAUGACGAGCCGCUACGGCGGUGAAGUGGUUGAUGCCCGGCUUCCAGGAAAAGCCUCUA
rnacentral:rRNA from 1 species